GGAGUAAAGGUGAAAGACUUAAAAGGUCGCACUUCUUCCUAGUCUUAAUUAUAGCCCACACUAUAUUCUACUCUAGAGGAAAACAAAUACUAGAAUGAGGAAACUAAAUCCUUGAAUGAUAAUUUGUCUACCAUAGAUGAAAUGAUUAAAGUAACAAGGAAAAUAAAAGAAUUCUUUGCUGUUAAAAAACCUCAAGUUU
rnacentral:lncRNA from 1 species